CAUUGAGCAAUAUGUAAACAACAUCUUGCUUUUGUGUGUGUGUGUGUGUGUGUCCCUCCCUAAGGAAUGCCAAGCGUACUGCUAUUUUCUUCCCUCUGCUGUUUGACCAUACCGUACCACGCGGGGCAAAGUUUUACAAAGGGAGCGAGGGACAACAGGGAAAGUUUCCAGAACCUGGAGGGGCGUCAGUAGUCGUACGCUGCAAGACAGAAACAGAAGAGCGGUUAUCCACAUCUGCCACCCGGCACAGGGUUGCAAGGAAGAGGAGCAUGCGAUCCACUUCAUGCAGAGAGGCUGGAAUCCACAUCGGAGGUUCACUGCCCUCCAAGUUCAACAAGGCCAUCAGCCCAUCAUCGUCUUCAUCUACCAGCUGAGUCAAAACAAAAGAAGUCUGGCCUCCUCAAACGCCUUCUUCUCGUCUACCAGGCGGCGUUUGGCCUCCUCCUCUGCCUGCUUCCUCCUAUGGUCCUGUCUCUCCUUCUCCAGCUCCUCAAAUCCCAUCUUCAGCCUCCCAGGAGUCACCUGCAGCUUCUCAGAGGGCUUCUCCUCUUCAUCCUGACGUCCUCCUCUCUGCCCUUCUCCAUGUCCUCAAAGUUCACCUUGAUCCUGCCCGGAUGUCGUGAAGACUUCGCUGGGACCACCCGCACCAGGAUUGUGUCAUCUCCCUCCUGAAGAGCAAGAUUAUCCAAGGCACAGAGAGAAGAAUUUGUUAUAGUGAAGGAAUGAUGACAUUUAGACCACAUUGUCAAGUCACGUUCAAAGUUUUCAGCUCUUAUAAAGGGUGAAAUGCAGUUACUACUCAGUAGCAAGAAGGAAAACCAGUUUAGAUCACUCACAGUUUUAUAAACUGUGAAUAAGAGCAUGUAUUUGAGUUGGGGGCAACUUUAUUGGCUUAAUGGCACCCAGCACCAUCUGCAGUAGGUCAGAGGAUGGGUGUCAGUCAGAUAGCGGAGUCUAAUUCAGUCACAGUGAGGAGGACUGGAGCUAAUUUAGUCACUGGGAAGGUGUGGGAAACAGUUGCCAGUCAUAUGCUGUCUACACCUGGCAGCUCUGUUCCAGCUCUGUUGACCCGUUUCACCAAGUCUUGGCUGUGUUACAUUUGAACAUGACUGUUUUAGUUGUAAGACACUCACUUGAGACAAGAGAAGAAUAAGUUGUUAUGUCAAAGUAAAAAAUGGAUCUGACUCACUGUAAAUAACAAGUAUAAAGUAUGUAUGUAUAUAUAGAUGGAUGGACGUGUGAUUUCUUGUGUUUUUUUAUGCCAUUUAUGAGUCAGGUUUUUUGCAUUUAGAAGAAACUGAGGUUGUUAGUGACGUUGUUCAAUUGACGUACACGAUUCCUGUCUGCAUCAUUACUGGAGCAAUUGCCAGGAUUUUCAAAUGUCUUAGUAUUUUUCUUAUUAUUUAGAUUUCUCCAUGGUUAGCUAAUCCAAUUAUAUACUGUCGUCAAUCUUUACAAUCACCAAACUGGUCUUUCAAACAAAGAAACUCACAAAUCCCUCAACUGCUUCUAAACUCAAGACAAACAACUAAACUAAAGUAACUGCCUCAGAACUUUAUCUCCACAUGAAACUUCAAAGUAAUGUCAUUGGA